rnacentral:tRNA from 2 species
AUUUUUUUAGUAUAAUUAGUAUAUCUGACUUCCAAUCAGAAGGUCUAAAAAAUUUAGAAAAAAUA